GAUGAACGCUGGCGGCGCACAUAAGACAUGCAAGUCGAACGAACUUAAUCGAAAGUUUACUUUUGAAGCGGUUAGUGGCGGACUGGUGAGUAACACGUAAGCAACCUGCCUAUCAGAGGGGAAUAACAGUGAGAAAUCAUUGCUAAUACCGCAUAUGCUCACAGUACCACAUGGUACAGUGAGGAAAGGAGCAAUCCGCUGAUAGAUGGGCUUGCGUCUGAUUAGAUAGUUGGUGGGGUAACGGCCUACCAAGUCGACGAUCAGUAGCCGGACUGAGAGGUUGAACGGCCACAUUGGGACUGAGAUACGGCCCAGACUCCCACGGGAGGCAGCAGUCGGGAAUAUUGCGCAAUGGAGGAAACUCUGACGCAGUGACGCCGCGUGCAGGAAGAAGGUUUUCGGAUUGUAAACUGCUUUAGUUAAGGAAGAUACAAGACAGUACUUAAAGAAUAAGCACCGGCUAACUAUGUGCCAGCAGCCGCGGUAAUAC
rnacentral:rRNA from 1 species